rnacentral:piRNA from 1 species
GGGGAGCUUAUGCCCAGAUUUCUUCCACGG